UCUACUUUUGUAGUUUUGUUAUCUUAUUUAGGCCACGGAUUUUAGUAAUUUCAAAUUGAACCCUCUGUUUUCAUUUUUUGUAAUUCUACAUUUACCCCUACGAUUUUUAGUUUCCAAAUUUCCCCUCUCCACCCUUAAACAUAAUUUGUGAUUCUGCUAGGGUUCUUGACGUUUUCGGCAGUCUGUCUUCUUCCGUCGUCGCUGUUUGUGCAAUGUGUGUCGCUGUCGUCGCCCUGUUUCUCUUUCUCGCCACCAACUCUGACUUUAUUCCUUCUCCCUCCGCCUCUGCCUCUGCCACCUACUCCAAACGCAUCAAGGAGGUGCAGUUUCAUCCAGAGAGCAUUGUAUAACAACUGAAGAAAUGGAAUUGAGGAAAAUGAGGCUGGUAGUUCACAAAAAUAUUUAAUUAGAAACGAAUGUUUAUCCAUUGUAACACUUGUAUUUUGCGGGCUAACAUACAUGAAAGAAAAACAUUUUUAGCAAAACCAUUAAAGAACAGUUUAUUCUAUUUAGACCAUAGCUUAGGAUUUUAUUAAUUAAAUAGUAGAAAACUCAAGAUGAUGUGAAAUUGAUCCUAGUGAAUACCCCCAAAUAAUUUAGAAUUAAAAGCCUAUAUUGAUAUUGAACAA